AAGAUAGGGAGGGACAGCAACAAUAAGAAGGGGUAGGGAAAGGGAGGGGAAAGGAAAGGAGGGGGGAGGGGUUUUAAAGGGGAUGUUGAUGGCGGAAGUCUGUCCGCUCUCUCUCUCUCUCUCUCUCUCUCUUUUACAAAUUAGAGGUAUAUAAUUUCUGACGGUAAGAUUUUUGUGACCUUUUCCCCCUCAAGUCUUACCCUUACGACACAAUUGGGAUAUUUUCUUAUGUGAACGAAACAAUACGGAACUCCUGACCGAGGGAGAGCCUUGAGAGAUCCUAACAGACGUAAUUAUAUGAGAAAUUCGCUCCAUAGUGGAACGUUCGGGGUAAGUAAACGUUCUAUUGUGUCGGGGUGAAAGUUCAAAUCCCGCACGUUUUCUGGGGACUCAAAGGCGAACGUUAGAGAGUAUUGGCCCCCUAAAAAACGUUGAUAAAGUGACGGUAUUGUAUGGUAACGUUUGAUAGGGUGUGGCCUCGUUUUCUGGGGAUUCAAAGGCGAACGUUUUAGAAAGUAUUGGCCACCUAAAAACGUUGAUAAGGAGACGGUAUUGUGUGGUAACGUUUGAUAGGGUGUGGCCUCGUUUUCUGGGGAUUCAAAGGCAAACGUUUCAGAGAGUAUUAGCCACCUAAAAAACGUUGAUAAGGCGACGGUAUUUUGUGGUAACGUUUGAUGGGGUGUGGCCUCGCUUUCUGGGGAUUCAAUGGCGAAAGUUUUAGAGGAUUGGCCACCUAAAAAACGUUUUGACGGUAUAGGGGUAAAGUUUAAUGGGUGUGCUCUAUGGUGACGUUUUUGAAGGGUGAUGAGUCCAUGGCGAUGUUGGAGUGGUGAACGUCUGAUUGUUUAGUCUUCAUUAACAAUAUUUCAGCUGAUUUGUAUUUUUCACCCGUUUUUCAAGGCCUGGUUAGCUAGCUUCGUUGAUUUUUUAUAUAACUUUUUUUACGACUGAGUUUGUAAUAUGUCGACUUAAACUUAAAUCCUACACUUCUCGCUAACUUCGUCCCCCCAAAAGAAUUAAAUUAAAAAGACAAACACGCCACACGCCUUAUGAAUACAAAUACGACGCUUAUAAAAAAAAAAAUCUAAUGUCAGCGAAAACAACUUUACGAGAAAAUUUAUGAGGUGAAAAAUAAUUUGUCUAAGGGAAGUGGCUCAAAAAAAUGCGUGUGUAAGAUUAAAAUGUUUUUGUGAGGUCUGUGGCAACGUCUGUAGUCUGUGUAUGAAAACAAUAAUUCGUCUGUGAUAUCUGUGGUAAAGUCUGUAGUCUGUGUAUAAAAACAAUAAUUCGUCUGUGAUAUCUGUGGUAAAGUCUGUAGUCUGUAUAUAAAAACAAUAAUUCGUCUGUGAUAUCUGUGGUAAAGUCUGUAGUCUGUGUAUGAAAACAAUAAUUCGUCUGUGAUAUCUGUGGUAAAGUCUGUAGUCUGUGUAUGAAAACAAUAAUUCGUCUGUGAUAUCUGUGGUAAAGUCUGUAGUCUGUAUAUAAAAACAAUAAUUCGUCUGUGAUAUCUGUGGCAACGUCUGUAGUCUGUAUAUAAAAACAAUAACUCGUCUGUGAUAUCUGUGGUAAAGUCUGUAGUCUGUGUAUAAAAAAAAUCGCCGGUGAUAUCUGUGGCAACGUCUGUAGUCUGUAUGCAUAAAAAAAUCGCCUGUGAUAUCUGUGGCAAAGUAUUUAGUCUGCAUAUAUAUAGAAAAAUCACCAUGGCAAAUUCCCUCCACGGCUGCAAUCUCGUAUAUAGCAACUCACGGGCAGCCUUCAGCGAAUGCAAAAAAAAUAUGAAUAACGGAAAAAAAAUAUAUAUUCCAGGCAACAUUUUCUUUUGUCGUCGGAGGAAUAUAAUGACAGGGAAUCUCUGGACGACUUCCUCUGACCCUUCCCCCGCUACCCCCCCCCCUCUCCAAUUAGUGACCUCGGCUGGCCUCCGUUAGUGGGUCGCGGAGGUCAUGGCACGGGAUCGGCGUUUAUCGUGUUGACGCGGAACUCUGCACGGCGUAAUGAGGGAAGGAACCGUAAAUAUUGCAAGCCCUUGUAAAUAUGUUAGAUGGAAUGCAUGUUGUAUUUUUCUUGACGUUAAGUGUAGUAAGUAUUAAGAGUAAUAAUAACAGUAAUAAUGAACACAAUAGUAAUAACAGAAAUAAGAAGAACAAUAACAAUACCAACAAUGAGAAUGGUUACUGACUCGUGUUCUUAGAAAUCUUGAUAAAAAAAAUCUUCGAACAAUCUUUACCUAAAUCUCUCUCUUCUCUUCUCUUUUCUCUUCUCUCUCUCUCUCUCUCUCUCUCUCUCUCCUCUCCAAAAAGACAAAACUACACACACACACACACACACACACACACACACACA